GAUGAACGCUGGCGGCGUGCUUAAUACAUGCAAGUCGAGCGAACGGACGAGAAGCUUGCUUCUCUGAUGUUAGCGGCGGACGGGUGUGUAACACGUGGAUAACCUACCUAUAAGACUGGGAUAACUUCGGGAAACCGGCGCUAAUACCGGAUAAUAUUUUGAACCGCAUGGUUCAUAAGUGAAAUACGGUCUUGCUGUAACUUAUAGCUGGAUCCGCGCUGCAUUAGCUAGUUGUUAAGGUAACGGCUUAUCAAGGCAACGAUGCAUAGCCGAGCUGAGAGAGGGAUCGGCCACACUGGAACGGGAACGCGGUCCAUGCUCCUACGGGAGGCAGCAGUAGGGAAUCUUCCGCAAUAGUCGAAAACCUGACGGAGCGACGCCGCGUGAGUUAUGAAGGUCUUCGGAGCGUAAAACUCUGUUAUGAGGUGAGAACAUAUUUGUAAGUAACUGUGCACAGCUUGACGGUACCUAAUCAGAAAGCCACGGCUAACUACGUG
rnacentral:rRNA from 1 species